AUUCCCACCACAGAAUGUAACCAGCUGUUACACUUUUACUAAUAGAAAACUAGCAAAAAAGGUAAGAAACAGAUAAUUGCAACAACUUGAAGAAAACAAUUUUGAAAAAAAAAAUUAAGGAGUUGAUGCAGCCUUCUGAAUAUAUUUGUUCAAAUCCCAGUAAGUAGCAAAGCAAUUUGUUUCUUCAUAACAGGACUAAACAGCUUUGUGGAUGGGAUAAAGUAUUUAAAAUAUAUUUUUUCCUCAGUGUUUUCCUAUUGGCUAGCUUAGAUCAUUGGCUGCCUACAUUGCUUUUUCGGCUAUCCCAGUCUUAAAAUGUCCACUUUUUCUCAUGAAAGUUCCAGGGCCUGUAGAGCCCAGCAGGGCAUCUAGAUGUCUUAAAAAUUGGGUGUUGAAAUAUUCUCUAUCAUGAUAUCAGGCUUGCUUUUAGAAAAACUUAGCCGUAAAGAUCACUUUUUACAUCUAAGGUAACUGAUGAGCAUAUUGUUUGUACAGAGUAGCAGAGGUCAAAUUGCUUACAUCAAAGAUAUGUCAUACAGGGAGGCCUCAUAAAGGGUGCAGGUGGAGAUGAAGAAUGUUGACCCUUUUUGUUCUGUACCUUUUCUAAUUGAGGUACAAAUGUCCAGAUCUUGCCUAAACUUGGAGCCACGAGACAGCUGGAUGUGCAGUUUGAUCUGAGCAAGUGGAAAACCACCAGCUACGUAUGACCUGGGAGACCUAAGAAAAAGGACUAGAUGUCCUCUUGUCUUCUGUUCUACCUCCAGGGUUUCACUCCAUUGCUGAAGAAUAGCUACUACAAAUUCUGAGAUAUCUUCAGAGGAUUGUUUGACCCUUAAUAAUACUGGUAAGACCUCAGAGUUGAAGGACCACAACUACAGGAACAGUGACUCUCCAUUGUGCACAAAAAUUUUAAGUGGCCAGUCAGCUGUAUCACCUGAUUGUUCAUAAGAUCAUGAGAUCUGGUGAGAUUGAUCCCAGAAUACUGCAGGAGCUGUUGGAUGUGACAGCAGGACCCCACUGAAAAAGUCAUGGGUGUCUCUGGGGAGGUGCCUGCUGGCUGGAAGCUGGCCAGUCGUUACAAUUUAGAAAGGUGUGAGGGAAGACACAGGAAACUGCAGAUCUGUGCGUCUAACCUCAGUUCAUGGAAAAAUUACGGAGAAGAUACUACUGGUCAUAAAAGGUAUUUCAAGGAAAUACAAGCAUCAGGCACAGCAUGGGAUCACAAAGAAAAGCCCUUUGUGACUAAUCUGAGAUGCUUCUACAAUUUGAUCACCUGCUUAGUGGGUAAAAUGACAGAGAUGGAUGUGGUUCUCCUGGAUUUUCAUAAUGCUUUUGAUACUGUUCUUUAGAGCAUCCUUUGGGACAAGUUGUCCAGCUGUGAGAUGAGCAGGUGCACACUGUGCUGCAUGAAGAACUGGCCUGUUGACAUUCAAAAGCAUUUCCUUACUGAGAGGGUGGUUGCACACUUGGAAAGACUCCCUAAAAAGGUGGUUGAUGUCCCAUACCUGGUGGCACCUUAAAAGGAGGCAUUUGGACAAUGCCUUUAAUAAUGGGCUUUAACUGUUGGUCAGCUGUUGUCAGGCAGCAGCAGUAGAUAAAUGUGGUAUGCCCCUGCCAAGUGGAACUAUUCUCUCCUAGUUAAAAAUUUGUGAAACCUGAACCAAAUGCAACCAGAAAGUAAAUCCUUCUCAAAACUGUUGAUCCUUUGGGGAUCUUUGCUAUGUUUCCUACUGUCAAUACUUUUCCCUCCAGGACUUCAGCCAGCAUCUGUUCAUGGGCUUGUGCCACUGAGGAUUUGAAGGCCUGGGCAACUCACUUCAGUGCUUCGUGAUUCUUACAGCAGUUUUAGUUUUAUUCCUUAUUUCCAGUUUGAAACUCUCGAGUUUCAGGAGAUGCCACCAUCUCUCACCCUCCCUUGAAUCUAUUCCCACCCUUUUGUUGGGGGAUGUCCCCAUCCUUAGAAACACCAGGCUGUGCUGUAAAAUGUCCCAAUACCUUGUCUGCUCCAUGUUGAACCAGACCCAGCUUCAUAAAGCAUCCUUGCUUUGAAGGAUGGAGCCUCUUUUAUUAGUCAGUCUGACUCCAGGACGCCAAAGAGGGUGCAGUGCCUGGAUGAGGUCUGAUGCAUACUGAGCAGAGCACCCUAGUUCCUUCCAGCUAGAGACAACAAAGAUAGGAGAAUACAAGCCGGAGCAAGCCAAGUGCUGCCUGUGAUGCAUUGUGAGACGAGAGCCCAACGGGCUGGCCAGCAGUGUGAAGAGUGUGGACAGCCUGUGGGAUUUUGUCCUGCCGCCUCCCAGGGAGGCAAAACUUGUUGCUGAGUGAGCCCUCAUGCUUCAUGUGCCUGGAGAUGUCUGUCAUGGCCAGAGCAAACUGGCAGGACUCUGAAAAGGCACAGCCAAGGCCUCAGUGACUGUCUUGUAACAUCAAUGUGAGUAUAAGAUGACAAGAUAGGAAAUGGAGUGUCAUUUAACCCCAGAUGCAUGUGCUGCAUGUACAGUGUACAGACGGUGUACCAUCUGUACCAUCUGUUGAUGGCCCAUUGUGAUAUCACCUAGAGAUGGAUUGUGAUCGCUUUGAGGGCUGGAUUGUGACCCAGCAUCCCUCCCUGCUUACGGCUGAGCACCAAGUUUCACCCAGCCAGCUCAUGCCCAGACACAUCUGAAGAACAGGAUGCCAUCCAGAAGGACCUAGACGGGCUCCUGAAAUGAGCCCAUGGAACUCUCAUGAGGUUUAACAAGACCAAGUGCAAGGUGCUUCAACUGGGUCGAGACAACCUCUGGUCCCAGCCCAGGCUGGGGAUGAACAGAUCAGAGCAGCCCUGUGAGAAGGACUUGGGGGUGCUGUGGGUGAGAGGCUGGACAUGACCCAGCCAUGGGCACUCCCAGCCCAGAAACCAAACGUGUCCUGGGCUGCAUCCAGAGCAGCGUGGGCAGCAGGGGAGGGAGGGGAUUCUGCCCCUCUGCUCUGCUCUGUGAGACCCCAGCUGGAACCCUGCAUCCAGCCCAGGGGUCCCAGCACAGGAAGGACAUGGAACUGCUGGAGUGAGUCCAGAGGAGCCAUGAAUAUGAUUAGAGGGAUUGAGUACCUUUCCAGUGAAAAAAGCCUGAGGGAAUUAGUGUUGAUUAGCCUGGAAAAGAGAUGGCUUUGGAGUGACUAUCACAGCCUUCCAGCACCUGAAGGAAACCUACACCAAAGAUGAGGCAAGACUAUUUACAGGGCAUAUAGUCACAGGACAAGAUGGAAUGGGUUCAAAUUGAAAGAGAGUAGGUUUAGAUUAGAUAUUAGGAAGUAAUUAUUUACUGUUAGGAUGUGAGGCACUGGAACAGGUUGCCCAGGAAAGUUGUGCAUGUUGUGGAUGUUGUCCCUGGAGCUGUUUGAGACCAGGUUGGAGGGGGCUCUCAGUAACCUGAUGUAGUUGAAGGUGCCCCUGACCAUAGCAGGAGGGUUGAAACCAAAUGAUCAUGAAGGUCCCUGUCCAACCUAUAUCAUUCUAUGAACCUGUGACUCCUGCUAAGCGUUUGGCAACGUUUGGAGGGCUGAGUGAGGCCUUUGGUGUUGUCAUUGUCCAAGGAGAGUUUUGUUGCAGCUCUCUGUGUUCACCUCCAGAGUCACUGAAGGAUUUUCCCCCUGCCUGCCAGGUUCAGGCAUCCGGGACACCCAGGAGGUGCACUUGCAGCAGCAGAGGUGAGCUGGGAGGUGAAACCUACUGGGGAGCUGAAAUGAUUUCCUUCGUGAGGGACCAGGGCAUUUCUGUCACCACUUCUGGGUCCAGGAAAUGGCCAUCAUGCUUCUUCCCCUUCUAGCGUAAAACCUGCUGCUGCAAUGCUGGUGAACGGUAGCAACUCAUAACCCCAGCUCCCCUCAGGCCCCUGCAGAGAAGAGCAUGUCCACAGAGAUCGACAGCUGCUGUCCCAUCUGCCUGGACAGCUGGAAGGAGAUCAGCUACAUAUUGCCAUGCCUACACCAGUUCUGUUACACCUGCAUCCUGCAGUGGGCAGAGAAGACACCCAAGUGCCCCCUCUGCAAAAGGAGGAUUCUAUCCAUCUUGCACUCAGUGGGAGCAGAAAAUGACUACAUGGAGCAUGUCAUUGCACUGUCUGAGACAUCAUCCAUCAUUGUCCGUCAGGCAAGAGGAGACCCCAGACACCUUGACCUCCACUUCUCUGGAGCCCCCCAAACGUGGGCUGCAGAAGGAGUGCCCAGGCAUCCUGUGGGCAGCCUCCAGCCUG